CUGUGUGAUUUGCAGCAUUUUUCCUCUGUGUGGUGCGAGAAGGACCCAUCAGGCUGCUGCCCCAUCAAAGGUCUGUCAACCCUCAGGCUGCGGCUCGGCGCCCAGCAGGACAGUGGCAGCAGCAAAGAUCACUCAUUCACUCAUCUUUGACAGGGCGGUCAGGCGGAGCAGGAACGGCCAGGGGCAGCGUGGCGGCGGCGGCGGUACGUCUCCAUGGCAUUGCUCAGGCGUGCCGGUGUGUGGUCCCAAGACAGUCAGCUACCUGGUGAGGCUGGCGAAACUAGAAACACAGGCUUGCUGGGUUUGCUGCCGUCGACAAGGUGGGAAACCAAAAGUUCUUUGUAUACACAAAGAAAUAAUGAAAAUGCAGUAAAGUCAAAGAAGGAAGGAUCACCCAUGAAUGGGCCGCCACACUGCACAUUUGUACACCCUGCUGCCAAGACCCUGACAGUGACCAUGAACACAUCACUGGUGCAGGUGCUGUCACAGCCCACCAAGGUCCAGGGGAAGCAGUGUCUUGCAGGAUGAGAAGGUGCAAUCAGUGUAUGUGGCAUUGUCAAAUUACUAUUCUACUGACUGGCCAUCUAGGAGGCAAGCAGUCUUGUAUGCUGGAAACUGAAGACAUCAAAAUGCAAAUAAUUCAACACCAUUGAAGAGGGCCUUUUGCCUAAGAACCAUUCUUUUCAACUGUUGAGGGUCCAAAUUGGUAUAUGUGACUAUGGAAUAUAUAUGAAUUAAGUAUUAAAAAAAAAUCUAGUCCCACUGGUGCCCACCUAACUAACACAUCACCAUGUCAAUGGAUUUUGCUCUAACUAUUAUAUCAGGCAGGACUUGUAGUGAGGUAAGGCCACUUUCUUUGGAUGAGUGGGCGAUAGACUGCCUCAAGCUGCGGUCCAAUCCCCAACAAACUUGCCAAGUAGCCUAGGCUCCAAUUCCAGAUACAAAUCAAGACUAUGGGUGUGGCUCAAAACCUAGUAAUACAACGAAUCAUGGUUACUAACAACAAUAAUAAAAGAAAUAUUAAUCAAAA